rnacentral:lncRNA from 1 species
UUUUGUUAUCAAAGCGCAUGCUCCAGUUUGACAGGUAAAACAGUCGCGGAAAUUUCACAGUACCACCAAGUGGCUUGUUCUUUAGAAAUUCUGAAAUAUCAAACCCCCGGUGGAGUCACGUUACAGCUUUGGUACACACACACAGCAGAAUCGAGAAAAGCAUGGCUGCAAUAGGCCAAGGAACAGCAGACAUGACCGAGGUGGUGUCAUCCAUGCAACUGAUGUUCGCCAAUCCAUCUUAGGAACUACUUUGGAGAGAUACUGCAUUAUACUCUUCCCCACAAGAAUUAAAGAGCAGAAAAGCAAGCCGUCCAUGUAGAGAGCCAAAUUACUGGAUGCCCAACUCCAUCCCCACAGCACUCUCCGGACACAGGACGGAUACUAUCUGAGCGAUCCAAAGUCAUAUCCAGUAGUAAGACAUUCAAGAUCCAGCAGAAUCCAGUGUAGGAUUUGGAUAUUUCAUCCCAGAACAAAUUCGGAUUCAGAAAAGGCAGUAUCUAUCGUGAGAGUUCAUAAAGUUGACCCUCUAUUGAACGGUCAGCCAAAAAUGACCAGUCUAAAACUUUAACGAAAUCCAACCCUUUUGCUCAGCGUCAGCCAUCAGGGAACCAGGAGAGGGAGGAACCAGAUCUCACCUUUGAAGAUGAGGCUGGACACGAGACCUGAGGGGGGAGCUCCAAGUCGCGCGCUUGGGGGACGCGAGAAAGAGGAGAUCCCGCUAGCACCGGCGGCGCGAGGUACAGAUCCAGUCGCCGGCAACCUGGGGAGAGAGCCGGCGGUGCGGGGUUAGAGCCGGCAGCGUGAGGAGAUCCCGCUAGCACGCCGAGGUACAGAUCCAGUCGCCGAGGUACAGAUCCAGUCGCCGGCAACCUGGGGAGAGAGCCGGCGGUGCGGGGUUAGAGCCGGCAGCGUGAGGAGAUCCCGCUAGCACCAGCGGCGUGAGGUACAGAUCUAU